UCUUAUAGAUGAGCAAAGAAAGUGGCUUCUUGAGAUGGAAUCUACUCCUGAUGAAGAUAUUGUGAA
rnacentral:pre_miRNA from 1 species